rnacentral:ncRNA from 2 species
AUUCUGUUUCAGGGCGAGGUGGAAAUCCUCACUGGCGGUAAGCACGGCGCCUGCGCGCGCCGGCAAGCCCGCGACCCUGUGCGAGAGCGCAGGCUGACCCGGUGAAAUUCCGGGGCCAACGGUUACAGUCCGGAUGGAAGAGGCAGACG